GACAGUAAACUGAAUAUCUUUGGGUUUUGGACUAUUGACCAGACAAAACGAGGCAUUUGAAGACGUCAACCUGCACUGUAAGACAUUAUAAAAGGGCAUUUUUCACUGUGUUGACAUUUUAUAGACAAAACAAUUAAUAGAUUAAUUUAGAUUAUAAUAGUCAGCUGCAGCCCUAAUUUAUUUUGAAGUUUUCAGUAUUUCUUCGCUCUAAAUGGGAUGUAAAUCUCCAUCUUGAUAAAAGUUGUUGGACUAUGAAAACACUGAGGACAAACCUGGAAAUUAAUCCAGGACUCAAUUAUUCUAUCCUUGACAAAGUCUGAUGUGUUGUAAAUAUAUUAGGAUGGUGUCAAUAAACCAAACCAAACGGCUGAAAAUGUCAAGCUACAGUAUGUCUCAAUUUACUGUAUGACAUCAGCUCUCUGUUCUUUGUAAAGCUGAAACUUCCUGUUAACAUCAGAGUCAGUUAUCUGCAGGAAGUAGCCAUUCGUCAUCGGCCUUUGGGGGAAUCCACAUUAUCAUUGAAUUUUGACACAACUGGUCAGUCAGCAGUUUCAACAGGUUGGAGUGUUGGUCAGGUUUAGGAAGAUUGACUGGAAAAACAUGAUUAAUGGAGACUAAUGGCGACCUCUCCUCCCUUUCUGAUCCAAUCCACAUUCCUCUGUUUGCAGUGAGUGACAGACUAUUCAUUAGAUGGAGGGGUGGAGCUGAUCUAUUAUUGGUAUUCAUGAGCUGGCAGCAGCAUCUCGAGCUGCUUGACCUCGUUUGCCGUCUGCAGCU